ensembl:snRNA Rnu6-105 RNA, U6 small nuclear 105
UGCUGGCUUCAGCAGCACAGACAUUAAACGUGAACGACACAGAGAUUAGCGUGCCCCCAGCGUGAGGAUGCCUCUCAAACUUGAGGCGUCCCAUAUUUUU